rnacentral:piRNA from 1 species
UUUCAAAAAUUUUUUCUUGUC